rnacentral:misc_RNA from 1 species
GGACAUACAUAAAGACCAGGC